AGUUCUCAACCUUUCUUCAUUUGAAGAAAGGCUUGGACUUUGGAGGUUUUUGCUGGACUCUCUUGAUGGGAGAUCAGCUCCUCUUAAAUGGAUUAGUAGGAACCCUUCUGUGCUGGGUCCUCGACGUGAUAAGGCUUUUCUACGUCUGGAUCUUUUUAGCCAUAAAGGCCUGCUUACAAUCGUCUCUCGAGACAAAUCACAUGUGAACCC
rnacentral:misc_RNA from 1 species